GCCUGGGUGGCUCGGUCGGUUGGGCAUCUGACUUCAGCUCAGGUCAUGAUCCCACAGUUCGUGAGUUCGAGCCCCACAUCGGGCU
rfam:Felis catus isolate Cinnamon breed Abyssinian chromosome B2, whole genome shotgun sequence.